rnacentral:rRNA from 1 species
UACGAAGGGGGCUAGCGUUGCUCGGAAUCACUGGGCGUAAAGCGCACGUAGGCGGAUCUUUAAGUCAGGGGUGAAAUCCUGGAGCUCAACUCCAGAACUGCCUUUGAUACUGGGGAUCUCGAGUCCGGAAGAGGUGAGUGGAACUCCGAGUGUAGAGGUGAAAUUCGUAGAUAUCGGAAGAACACCAGUGGCGAAGGCGGCUCACUGGUCCGGUACUGACGCUGAGGUGCGGAAAGCGUGG